rnacentral:rRNA from 1 species
AACUACGUGCCAGCAGCCGCGGUAAUACGUAGGGCGCAAGCGUUAUCCGGAAUUAUUGGGCGUAAAGAGCUCGUAGGCGGUUUGUCGCGUCUGCCGUGAAAGUCCGGGGCUCAACUCCGGAUCUGCGGUGGGUACGGGCAGACUAGAGUGAUGUAGGGGAGACUGGAAUUCCUGGUGUAGCGGUGAAAUGCGCAGAUAUCAGGAGGAACACCGAUGGCGAAGGCAGGUCUCUGGGCAUUAACUGACGCUGAGGAGCGAAAGCAUGGGGAGCGAACAGGAUUAGAUACCCUGGUAGUCCAUGCCGUAAACGUUGGGCACUAGGUGUGGGGGACAUUCCACGUUUUCCGCGCC